rnacentral:rRNA from 1 species
UACGGGGGGGCAAGCGUUGUUCGGAAUUACUGGGCGUAAAGGGCUCGUAGGCGGCCAACUAAGUCGGACGUGAAAUCUCCGGGCUAACCCGGAAAGGUCAGCCGAUACUGCGGGCUAGAGUGCAGAAGGGGCAACUGGAAAUUCUCGGUGUAGCGGUGAAAUGCGUAGAUAUCGAGAGGAACACCUGCGGCGAAGGCGGGUGCUGGGCUGACACUGACGCUAAGGCGCGAAA